UACAGAGGUCUCAAGCGUUGUUCGGAUUCAUUGGGCGUAAAGGGUGUGUAGGUGGCGCCGUAAGUCGGGUGUGAAAUUUCGGAGCUUAACUCCGAAACUGCAUUCGAUACUGCGGUGCUUGAGGACUGGAGAGGAGAGUGGAAUUCCUGGUGUAGCGGUGAAAUGCGCAGAUAUCAGGAAGAACACCCGUGGCUAAGGCGGCUCUCUGGAACGCAACUGACGCUGAGACGCGAAAGCGUGGGGAGCAAACAGG
rnacentral:rRNA from 1 species